rnacentral:rRNA from 1 species
AUUCCGUAGGGUGACCUGCGGAAGGAUCAUURCRCGKAUUCUUUUGCCAGCGCUUAACUGCGCGGCGAAAAACCUUACACACAGUGUCUUUUUGAUACAGAACUCUUGCUUUGGUUUGGCCUAGAGAUAGGUUGGGCCAGAGGUUUAACAAAACACAAUUUAAUUAUUUUUACAGUUAGUCAAAUUUUGAAUUAAUCUUCAAAACUUUCAACAACGGAUCUCUUGGUUCUCGCAUCGAUGAAGAACGCAGCGAAAUGCGAUAAGUAAUAUGAAUUGCAGAUUUUCGUGAAUCAUCGAAUCUUUGAACGCACAUUGCGCCCUCUGGUAUUCCAGAGGGCAUGCCUGUUUGAGCGUCAUUUCUCUCUCAAACCCCCGGGUUUGGUAUUGAGUGAUACUCUUAGUCGGACUAGGCGUUUGCUUGAAAAGUAUUGGCAUGGGUAGUACUGGAUAGUGCUGUCGACCUCUCAAUGUAUUAGGUUUAUCCAACUCGUUGAAUGGUGUGGCGGGAUAUUUCUGGUAUUGUUGGCCCGGCCUUACAACAACCAAACAAGUUUGACCUCAAAUCAGGUAGSAAUACCCGCUGAACUUAAGCAUAUCAAUAAGCGGAGGAAG